rnacentral:rRNA from 1 species
CUGGCUCAGGAUGAACGCUAGCGACAGGCUUAACACAUGCAAGUCGAGGGGCAGACAUAAAAGUAGCAAUACUUGGUGGCGACCGGCGCACGGGUGAGUAACGCGUAUGCAACCUACCUAUCAGAGGGGAAUAACCCGGCGAAAGUCGGACUAAUACCGCAUAAAACAGGGGCACCGCAUGGUGAUAUUUGUUAAAGAAAUUCGCUGAUAGAUGGGCAUGCGUUCCAUUAGGUAGUUGGUGAGGUAACGGCUCACCAAGCCGACGAUGGAUAGGGGAACUGAGAGGUUGGUCCCCCACACUGGUACUGAGACACGGACCAGACUCCUACGGGAGGCAGCAGUGAGGAAUAUUGGUCAAUGGGCGAGAGCCUGAACCAGCCAAGUCGCGUGAAGGAAAAGAAGGAUCUAUGGUUCGUAAACUUCUUUUGCAGGGGAAUAAAGUGCAGGACGUGUCCUGUUUUGUAUGUACCCUGAGAAUAAGGAUCGGCUAACUCCGUGCCAGCAGCUGC